UAAAUGGAAUGCAGCCAUCAUUAACGAUAUAAGUGCCACCUGUGCUUUUCAUCCUUUGACGGAUCAAAAUGUCCGCCGUGAAAAGGGCCUACUCUCUUCUCCCCGUCAGCAGCAACCUCCAAGGUAGCAACGUACACACAGAAAAUGCACAGCAGCAGAACAUUAUCUCAGCAUUCGAGCUUCCCACCCUGAGCAUGACGUCAAAGGAAGAUGGCCGCCGAGUGAAUGUGGUCUAUGGCAAGAAUAUAAACAAGCUAGCAGUUGUUACCUUGUUUUUUUUGUUGUGACGUGGCCAUUUUAAUUAAGGGCUCGCCUCCCCAUGUGUAAAUAUGCCCCAAAGCUAAAAGAAAAACGCUAUAUUUUACAUUAUAAGCUAAAUUGCCGCCUUUGUGACACCCAAGAGGAUUGCAGUUAGUUUGAAGAAAUAAUCGACUGUGUUAACAGCUUGUUGUGCAGCCCCAAAUGUAGUAUUUAUUGUUAUUAAUAAUGAUUUAAGUAAUCCAUUUUUUUGUUACUAUGGUGUGAUUUUGAUUUAACUGCACAUCUGUAAAGCCUGCCAGUAAUCUACUCUAUAGUGAUCAAAAAUGGCCCCUCUGAUACAUAAAAAUGUAAAUCCUAGAAGAACCUUUAGCUCCAGGAAAUCCACACAAUGCCUUUUUGACUUUCUGGUUUCAUUUGUUGCAAUGUAAGUCCAAGUGCCCACUGCCUCGGCCAAUGAAGGAGCCAGGGCAAUGCAAUCAAAAUUAAUUAGAUUCUAUUUCGGGCUCUCUGGCAAUUCUGUUUCAUUCAUUCAGCCUGCCUGUGUGUGUUUGGUUGAUUGACGCACACGAUAGACUUGGGGGUGCGGGGGGGGGAUGGAGACACUGAUGGAAUGGCUGAGGGAAAUGAAUCAGGGAGAAACAGAAAGAGACUGGUAUAUGUAUGUAUGUGUGCGAAUUGAUUUUCAAUAGCACUCACAGUGUUCGUGUGUGUGUGGAGCGUUGCCCAAAGAGCAUUGGACUGUUCAGCUGUAACGGCCCCUCAGCAGCAGCCACACGGCAGUAAACCAAGCGAUGAUCAGCCACGGAAAAAAUACAAGAAAAUACACUGAUGUUAAUACAAUGGUGUUUUUGAGGAAUGGUGAAUACCAGUUGAACUUAGCCAUUGUAAUUAUUUUUACCAUAAAAAUGACACUAAACUUGUAUGGGUCAUUAAAAUCUGCUUUAUGCAUCAUUUUUUGAAAUA